UGCCAUAGCCAUAUCACCCUGCAGCCCAAGCUAAGCAUGGCUGAGCCUGGUCAGUACCAGGAUGGGAGACCACAUGAGAAAACUUGGUUGCUGUUGGUU
rnacentral:rRNA from 1 species